UACAGAGGGUGCAAGCGUUGUUCGGAAUUAUUGGGCGUAAAGGGCGCGUAGGCGGUGCGGUAAGUCUGUAGUGAAAUCUCUGGGCUCAACUCAGAGUCUGCUGCAGAAACUGCCGUGCUUGAGUGUGGGAGAGGUGAGUGGAAUUUCCGGUGUAGCGGUGAAAUGCGUAGAUAUCGGAAGGAACACCUGUGGCGAAAGCGGCUCACUGGACCACAACUGACGCUGAGGCACGAAAGCUAGGGGAGCAAACAGG
rnacentral:rRNA from 1 species